GGGGCUGGAUGGGGUACUGGUGUCCUCCGCGGUCUUCAAAACCGUCUGUGACCUGCGUGCCAGGUUGGGUGGGUUCGAUUCCCACGCGGUCCCGCCA
rnacentral:tRNA from 1 species